rnacentral:lncRNA from 1 species
GCCCUCAUCUUUGCCUAAUGAUAUGGAUAUUCCUUUUCCUAUUAAAUCCCAUCUGUAAUAUAUAUUUUUUCAUUAUACCUCACCAUAUUGUAACUUAAUUAGCUCCUUCCUCCCCACCUCCCCCCCAACCCCAACCUGUGCAUUGCUGAUAAGACAUGCCUGGUUAGCUUUGGGUCUUGGACUCACAGGAGGUCUCAUAUGCAAUCAGGAGUGGGUUGUGGCUGGGAACUGAGCUAUCUGGUGGCACUAGUCCAUCAGUGUGGGGGGUACGAGCUUACCUGCCAGGGAGCGCGGUGUGUGAGUUAACUGCCUGCACCUUUAUUUUAAGGAUUUUGAGCCAACAUGUUGGUUUGACUGAUGUGAUUUGGUGAGACAUUUCGAAUAGGAUUGGGGUGGGCAUGUUUCCUUUUGAAAACAGGGCUUCAGGAUCAGUGUAUCUCAGCAGUUAAUAGAGUAGUGCUGGUAGUUAAUUAAUUAAUCCCAACAUUAAAAGUCUUCUCCUGAGGUGUUUGUCCAUUUCUGCAAGUCUCAUAUCUUUCAAGGGUGCAUUAUUUUGACAAACUGAAGUAUUUUAUAUUUUAAGUUCAUGAUCAAGCUGAAAGCUGUCUUUGCUUAUAAUCCCACCUUUGUUAUUUUAGCAACUGCUGGAGUUGAAAAAAAGAGCAUUACUGUUUUAUUGCAUGUGUAAGACUGAAUCCUGGGGAAAUCUAGAAUGCAACACUGACAGCCCAGUUAAAGGAAACAAUUAGUGUAGCAUGCAUCUCUGAAUCUCAUCAUUAAGCAUAAACCUUGUUUUGGUCUUUGAAGAGACUGAAGAAGUACAGAGAUUGGAAAACUCCAAAAUGCGAAGAAUUUUGGGUUAAAGUUUCCCAUGUGUCUCCAGCUGUGUUCCUGCCUUCAGCACAGGUCUAGGAGCCGUCCUGGAAACAGUCCCAGGGCAAGAGAGCUCCUGGGACCUGUGCCUGUCUGCAAGCAAAGAAGAAGGAAAAGUCUUUGGUAUCUUCCCUGGCAUGUUUAUUCCUACCUUUUAUUCCAGCAAACACAUCACUUCUUGCGUGUUCCCCUGUGACCCAAGUAUUGGAUGGAACUGAGGUAAGCUAUGUAUAGACAUCGAUAUAGAAUUCCAGUACAAACAUACUUUGGGAUGAUUAUAAUCAACCAAAAUUACGGGGUUUUGCUGUGUCAUGUCUGAGAGCCCAUCUGGUACUUCAGAAUUGCACUGAAAGUACAGAUACCAGUAAGUUCUGGAGAUAUAUACCGGAGGAGUUAUUAAAAUGGGGCAAUCCCUCUGUAAAAUUAUGACUACAGCUAUGGAAUAGUAAAUAUCAAUUUCAGUAAACCAAGAAACAAGUAUUUUUUUCUAAAUUAUCAGAUUGGGAGAGGGGAUGAUCUUAAUCUUUUACCAUU